GUCAUUUGAAUACAGUCAUUGUGAAAGGGAGGCAAAGAUCUGCACCUGCCAUGGCGGUUGGGCUCACGUGCUCCUCUGCAUUGGAGUUAGCCAAGGAGCGUGUGCAGAACACUUGCCUCGUAGGCCAGCCGUAAGGAAGGAUGUCCCAGGUGCAGGCGAGGUUUUGUUCAUGUGUUCCUGGAGGAUUUUUCCGGUGGCAAGUGCUUCUCCAUCCUCCAGCAUCUCAGGCCUGUGCACCAGCCUUCCUGUGCCCGUUGAUGGACUGAGAGGAAGAUGAGCCCUUAGGAUGCCUGCCAUGCUCAGUGUUAAGGGUUUUCAAAAGAAAUGCAGGCAGCAUGGUGCACUACAGACUCCAGCCUCCCUUUGAAGCCAGGUUCCAGAGCUUCCUCCCUUUGGCCUGGAACCUCAACAGCAGGAUUGGGAUGAGGAUGGAAGUGUACAGAUAUGCAUAUAGUAUUGCUUAUCCCCAGCUGAAAUCAAUGUUGGCAUGACAUGUUGCAAAACCAAACUGACAUUGAACAUGACUUUUUUCAGCCCUUUAAAUAGCUGUUCAUGUAGAACUUAGUUUUUUAUGGAAGACCUUGAUAAUCCUGUCUUUAGUUACUUUAGAAGUUAACUUCCUGGGUGGACUUGAAUUGAGUCUUAUUCAUCUUUAAAUUUCCAGGGUUUAGCAAAGUACCUGCUUCAGAGUAGGUGUUAAUAAAGCUAAUGCCCUUCAAAUCAACAAGAGGAUUUCCUGUGAGGGGUGGUCCUGUUUUCUGACACUCAGAUGGCUCUGAGUGUGGCAUCUCAGAAAAAAGAAAGAAAGAAAAAAAAAAAGAUUGGGCUGGGCGCGGUGGCUCACGCCUGUAAUCCCAGCACUUUGGGAGGCUGAGGCAGGUGGAUCACAAGGUCAGGAGAUCGAGACCAUCCUGGCUAACACAGUGAAACCCUGUCUCUACUAAAAAUAAAAAAAAUUUAUCCUGGCAUUGUGGCGUACGCUUGUAGUUCCAGCUACUUGGGAGGCUGAGGCAGGAGAAUGGUGUGAACCUGGGAGACGGAGCUUGCAGUGAGCCGAGAUCACACCACUGCACUCCAGCCUGGGCAACAGAGUGAGACUCCAUCUCAAAAAAAAAAAAAAAAAGCCGGGCACGGUAGCUCACGCCUGUAAUCCCAGCACUUUGGGAGGCCGAGGAGGGCGGAUCACGAGGUCAGGAGAUCAAGACCAUCCUGGCUAACGCGGUGAAACCCCGUCUCUACUAAAAAUACAAAA
rnacentral:lncRNA from 1 species